UCUCCUGUAGCUCAGUGGUAGAGCGUCCGACCGGUGUGCGGACGGUCAUAGGUUCGAACUCUGUUGGGAGAA